rnacentral:misc_RNA from 1 species
CUCCCCGGCAGCCGCGCCGGCAGGUGCCGCUCCUCAGACGACCGGUGUGACGCGCGGUGCUCCCAACCAGUGCUGCUGCCGGUGCUCUGUGCUUCGUCUGUGUUCCUGUGCUCGGUCUGCAGUCACCGUUGUUUCCUUCUGUGUGAAAUUGCCGCGUUCAGCGUUGUGCUGCUGCAGCCACGGCUGAAGGUGACGGACAGCCAGGAUGAACUGUUUCCGGAGGACCAGCAGCGUUCACAGCUGCAGUAUUGUUCUGCUGGACGGCACGGAACUUUCCGAGGAGAUCAGGGAUGACAGCCUCGGCCAGGAGCUGUUGGACGUGGUGCUGCGCAGGCUCGGCAUCCACGAGACCAGCUACUUCGGACUGCGAUACGUGCACGCCUCUCGGCAACCGCACUGGUUGAACCCAAAUAAAAAGGUCCUUAGGCAGCUGAAAGGCACCAGUCCCUUUACACUCUACUUCUGUGUUAAGUAUUACGCCACUGAUCCGUGCAAGCUCCGAGAUGAAAUAACAAGGUACCAGUUUUUCCUGCAGGUGAAGAAGGACAUUGUGGACGGUCGGCUGCCCGUGCCACAGGAGCUGUCCGCGGAACUCAGCGCCUGCGUGGCCCAGUCCGAGCUGGGCGACUUUGAGCCCAGUUUGCACGGCGAGGGCUACUGUCGGCAGUUCCAGCUGAAUCCCAUGGAGCCGGCGUCAGAACAGGCUAUCUCGGCUCUGCACAGGUCGCUGAAGGGCCGCUCUCCGGCAGAGGCGGAGGCCGCCUUCCUCGAGAAAGUCCGAUGGCUAGACAUGUAUGGAACCGAUCUCUACCCCGUCAUGGGCGAUGACAGUGCCGACACCUUUGUGGGCCUGGCGCCGUCAGGUGUGCGGGUCAUCAGAGGAAAAGGAAGAGUCAGCAACUAUUUUUGGCAUAGAAUAUCCAAAGCAUUUUGCAAGAGGGACUGUUUAGUGAUCAAGACCCGCGAUAAUAAUAACGAAGAGCAGACCAUCAGCUUCCGAUGCGUCUCUAGACUGGCGUGUCAGCUUCUGCUGCAGAGCUGUCUCGAACAGCAGGAGUUCUUCCGGCAGGCCCUCGUCAGCCCGCCCGCUGCUAAUGGCUCCAAGGGAGGACGGUCUGAGGCACGGCGGGGAUCGACUGUAUCGUCGUCAAUACGACAGUGCGGCAGACGGGAAACGAGUCGACUCUCCAGCGCAGAGCACGAACAGCCACCACAAGCUCGGGACGGCGACAGCGCCACACCGUCCUCGUGUCAUAAGAGCGUGUCGAUACCGCAGCCCGUCCAGAGCGCCACGUCUCUGUACAGAGCCAACUCGGUGAGCGCCGAGACCAAGCCGUCGCCCGCGGGCUCUCCGAGGUCGGUCCGCUCGGCGCUGCUCUCCACCAAUCAGGUGGCGAGUCUGUUCAACACGCAGCCAAUCAGCAAGUCGCGCAGCCGCACCAGCGUUGACAGCCAAUCGUCGGCCGACAGCAGGACGCAGCGCAGGAACCGCCACCGUCGGGAGGGCAGCGCCGGCAGUGACGUUAGCUCGGGGGCCAGCUCAGCUCGGUCCAGCCGACGGUACAGGAACCGACGGGCAGAGUCUGGGUCAGACUCAGACAGGAGCGGCGGCAGCAGACGACACCGCAGCCGGCGGCACAGGCACCACGCCGCGGCCGACGUCGACGAGCUGAUCGACUCGGAGCCUCAGUGGCGGGAGGUGCAGCGUCUGCAAGCUGAGCGACUGCGGCCCUCCGGCUACCAGAACUCGGGCAUGGAGACCGAGACGGAGCUCUCCUACCAGCCGAAACGGCGCGUCAAACGGCACAGCCGUUCCCGGUCCCGCUCGCGCUCGCCGGAGACGAACCGUAACCGUCGUCUGCCGGUGGAGCUGCGGCGACACCUGCAGUUUGGAUUAGUGGAGCCGCCGGCCGACCCGUCCGCUGACCUCCAGUACACGCGGGUCACCACCGAGCACAAAAUGCCGCGCAUCAGAUACGCGGCCAAACGCAGCCAGAAGGGCGGUUCGGUGGAUGGUCGGUCGGAGACCUCGGAGCCCCCGCUGUCAGUGGCCGCCCCACCUCAGGACACCACCACGGACAGAGCUCUGCCGCCGACCGCCGCCUACCCGGCCGUCUCAGCGGCGUACCCGAGCACGGCGGCGGCGUACCCGAGCACAGCGGCGACGUACACGGCCCCCGGGGUGCCGUACCAGUCGGCCGGGGCGCCACACCCUCCCCCGUCUGCCGCUUCACAGUCGGCCCGGUCAGCAGCCCCCGGCCUCCAGGGACGGACACCGGCCGGGGAGCGGAUCAGGGAGGCCACAGCCAGGACGGGAAGGGAGUCGUCUCCAGCUGCGAUUGGUUCAGGUCAGACGCGGCUGACCCCGGGUCAGGUCAGCCUGCCGGCCGACUCUCCGUACGAUAACUCCGACUCCGGUCUGGGCAACGAGUCGCCGACAGAGUUCACCAGACUGUCAGCACAAGCAUCCUUGCAGAAUGGAGUAGGAGCAUCUCGUGCAAUGACGUCACACGGUGAACCGCGGGUUGUGCGGACAUUGGACACUAUGACGUCACUCUGAUGACUCAUGGCAGUGACGUCAGCUGUGGCAGUGACGUCAGUAAUAGUGAUCACGUCAAUUGUAAUAACGCCACUGGAGAGGCACCGGAGUCGUUACCGUUGCGAUGUUGUAAAUGGGUUUCCGAGCUCAUGACAUGGUGAUGACGAUCACAUCAGUAAUGAUGUGUGAAGUGUCGUUUGUGACGUGACGUUAACAGAGGAACACAGGGUAUCAGCGUUUGCUGUCAACAUGCCGUCUAGGAUAAUGGAACAUUGUCGUUUGCCUAUAGCUACGUGAAGUCCGAUAUUGCAUUCCUAACUGGCAUGCACAAUGUGUAUAGUGUGUAGGAGGGUAGUGAGGUGGGAUAAUAGAUGUCUGUUGUUGAUUCUAGCUUUCCUCGCGAUUUAUGAUCACCUUGUUAGACAUUGAUAUCGCAGCCAAGUAUGCCUGGCUUAUAAGCAAUGUCAUUGCUAAGGAUAAUAAGCUUGUGACUGUUGAUGAAGACCAAUUUGUAAAAAGUGAAUGCAUUUAUUUUUGCGCUGGCAAAAUCGAGUCAUUCGGAACAUCAAUAAUGUUUAAUGGGAUUCGGAUAGCGACUAUUCUGACAUCAUUUCGGUUGGUCCUCUAAGCUUCACAAACCUAAAAAUGCGUUUGAAUAUGUUCGGGCAGGUUGAAUUGCUGCCGCUAGUCGCUAGUACCAGUCACCUGUGGCAAAGUCUGCAUGAGUGAAUAUUUAAACUGGAUUUUUGUAACUGAAAUACACUGUUCCUGCAUA